AGUGAACGCUGGCGGUAGGCCUAACACAUGCAAGUCGAACGGCAGCACAGUAAGAGCUUGCUCUUACGGGUGGCGAGUGGCGGACGGGUGAGGAAUACAUCGGAAUCUACUUUUUCGUGGGGGAUAACGUAGGGAAACUUACGCUAAUACCGCAUACGACCUACGGGUUAAAGCAGGGGAUCUUCGGACCUUGCGCGAUUGAAUGAGCCGAUGUCGGAUUAGCUAGUUGGCGGGGUAAAGGCCCACCAAGGCGACGAUCCGUAGCUGGUCUGAGAGGAUGAUCAGCCACACUGGAACUGAGACACGGUCCAGACUCCUACGGGAGGCAGCAGUGGGGAAUAUUGGACAAUGGGCGCAAGCCUGAUCCAGCCAUACCGCGUGGGUGAAGAAGGCCUUCGGGUUGUAAAGCCCUUUUGUUGGGAAAGAAAAGCAGCGGGUUAAUACCCCGCUGUUCUGACGGUACCCAAAGAAUAAGCACCGGCUAACUUCGUG
rnacentral:rRNA from 1 species